ensembl:lncRNA
UGCCAGGGACUGCGGGGUUGGGGCGAUCCAGCGGAGGGCGGAACAGAAACCCCUGCCCCAGGAGCCCAAGUCCCAGGGGUGCACAGGACCCACUGAGAAGGUGACCUCUGGGCAGAGGCCUCAAGCAGCUGAGGGACGGCUGGGCCAGAUGGCCACCAGGUGAAGAGCCUUCUGGGCAGGACAAUCCGGGUCAGAAUUAUGAAGUGGGAACGAGGAAAGACUAGCUGGGAGAAGUUAAGAGCGUGCCCAGGGCUACACUGUGAGAUGGGGCCCAGCUUCCUGCUGGGGCAGGAGAGGCCAGUGGGGGCUGAGUGGGGGCGGGGCAGGAUGUUGUUCCAGCACCGGCUGCUGUGAGGCAAGGUGAGGCAAGGCUGGGCAGGAAGGGCUCCCAGCCACCACUGGGUGACUGUGCAGUUUCCUUUGCCAGGCUCUGAGACAAGGGGCCUUAUGGCUCAGAGGGAAAAGGCCCCAGUCAAGGAUUUCCUGUAAGUAGAGAGCCAAGGUGACCCGGGAGGUCACAUCUCCGCAACUGGACCUGUGGGGAAUGGAGUCAGGGUUCCGGCACAUUCUCUAGUUGCCCUGCCCUUGGUGUGAACCUGAAGUAACACCCCUUUCUCGCCCUUCUCCUCUCCCUUUCCCAGGAGCUCCUGCAGGAAAUCUCCUGGGUCCUUUCCUGGGCUGGUGUGUGUUUGGCAACAGAGCUGAGCCGGCUUCAGAAUAAGAGGGGAAGGCGGCCAUGACCGGAGAAAGGACUUGGAACCCAGGCCCUGACCCCGAGAAAUCGAGAUGUUGCCCAAGGGGCCCUUUCCUGUCCUCCUUCCCCCUCCAACCCUGAGCUCCUCAGUGGGCGGCCCAGGAAGGAGAAAGCUUCAGCCGCCUGCCUGCUCGGGUGGGGUGGACCCAUCACCAGCCCCACCCAGGGAUUCAAGUUUCUCUGUUUACGACUGUUUUCCUGGAACAGCUUGUUUUGAUCCAGAGAAAUCUGCUGACGCACUGCCUGCUCUCCUCCCUCUGGGCGGAGGACAUUCCUUUCCCAAACAAAACCGGCUGUGUGGAACCGCAGGCCCGGAGAGCUUCUACACGAGGAUCCUCUGAAAGUGCCAUUUCGUCCUUGAAAAUAAAGCGGGUGGACAGAGCAGCUCCAGACACGAGGGCACAAAGAACGGCCUUAGGUCCUUUUGCCAAGGCGAAUCCUAAGCCUCGUAGAACCCUAAUGCUUUGUGUUGCUAAUUCCACCUACUCCUGCCUUUCUGAAAAAUAAAAUCUAAAGACGUUUGUUUCUGGGAUUUGGGAAUCUGUGUGAAUGAGGGCGAUUCUUAGACAAGAGGUGGAGAAAAGCAAGCUAAGAUUUCAGGCUGGGCCCAGGAAGCAACGACACAGCGGUGACUACCACCUCUCAGGCACCUUGUAGAUAAAUAAAGGGCUGACCCCACAGCCUGGUACUGUGACGCGGCAGGAAAGGAAUCUGCUUGGUAUUAUUCACACUGUAGAGCUUUCUAAAACAUUCUGACUGGCAAUUCUCUCUUCCCACACUGUUCUCUCAGGCCGAGUCUCUCCAAUCGACCCCUGGAAAUGUUGCCAGGACAAGACUGCGGGGGCAGAUCUCGACGAAAAGUGAGAGGCCAGAAUCUUUCCCGGACAGAGGAGCUCGGCUAAGCAGCCGUUGGGGAACAAGCCUGGGCUUGCCACAAACUCAGUCAUCAAUGCUGACGGUCACAUGAGAGUCAUGAGUUUUGCAAGAACCACAAGGAGGGACCCAUCUGCAGAUGCCAUCUCACUGAGGCUGGGGAAGAAAUCUUCCCCAGUUUCCUCCCAGUUGCCAAAGGAGCCUGUCGUCAGGCAAUGUUUUGUUUGGGGCGCGGGUGGUUACCCUGGGAGGAGGUUUUCCGGCAGAGAGUUGGUCUAAGGAGCCGUCCUCGCUUGUGGUUAACCUGACCACACAGUCCUCCUUCCACUCUAUAUACUUCAGGGAGCAAGGUCUGAACGGAGGGUACAGGGGGUCUCGAGCUGUGAUUCUCCCUCGCCCUGGCAACGAGAUACCACCCGUCCCUUGCAAAAGCCUGACCCAGCGCUCAGGCCUGGGUCCGCCGGGCCUUGGCAGAGGGGAUCGUUAAGUCCAGGGGGUUCUUUUGCCUCUGCUCUAGAAGACCCACGUCGGAGGCCUGCUCUAUGUGGGCAGCCAGCAGGCGGUGACCCCAAGCCAUCAAACAGGCUCCCUGGGCCCCAUCACAGGCUGUAAACUACCCUGGAUAAAUGCAGUUUUUUCCCCAAAGUCUCCCUUCUUCCCCGCUUCCCAAUCCAGAAGUAAAACGGGUUGAAUUACAUGUAUCCUUUUGGUUUUACAGCCACGCAGUUGUAUACUGUUUUCUGCACUGACAAGAUUUUGAUUUCAUCAUUUGGCAAUUACUGAUUUCCCCUUAAUGCAUUAUGAAAAAUCAUUCAGUAGCCUAUCCCAGGCGUGGUUUUCUUACGGAACACCUCAAACCGUCAGGCCCCUGGGGACAAAAUAACAAAAUAACAAAGAUUUUCACGCAGGAACAUCGCGGGGGCAUUAACGUUUUAAUCAACUUGCCCCCCAACCAUUCCUAACACAACAACCCCACGGCGGGGUUUCUCAACCAGAGAAGCUACAGGCGCAGCUCCGCGUGCGCUUCUGCGAGGGACGGCUGGUCGCCAACAGGCGGGCAGCCCCCGCACCCCUUAGAAAUG